CCAUUUUUCCAUACUUUUUUUGCCAGUAGUGGACACUAUUAAACAAAAACCUACCUGGAGUUAUAGACAUUUUAAACUGCUGUCGUUUGCAUGCGGAGCGGGUCCUUUUUUCCUCCCCCCCAAGGUUACCACCCUACCAUUUCGUGACCCUUUGAAAAAGGCACAAUAUGACGAAGAUGAUGAAGAAAGAACUCUUCUUCAGUGCGAGACUGGCAAACUACGUACAAUGAAAGGAUUUAAAGAGAUUGAGAAGGCCAAACUGCAUUCCAGAUUCCCAGGACUUUCUAAUUCAUGGUGCUUUGUGACUCCAAAUGAGUGGCUUAAACUGUCUACAAGCUACAUAGAAAGUGAAUUUUGUAAAAGGAGCAGGUGAAAAGUGAAAGUGAAUUUUAACGCUAGUAGUUUGGAUUUGAAACCCUCGGCCAAAGCUCCUCGUCUGCUGGAAUCCCAGGAAGAAGGAAAAGCCGUUACUUGCAAGGUGGAUUUCAGUGGUUUUUAGCAUAUUUACAAGGUUGUGCAACUGUCGCCACCGUAUAAUCCAGAACAUUUUCAUCGUCCUGAACAGAGACCCUGGACCCAGGAGCGGCCACUCCCCUCAGUCCUGAAGACUUGCUAACCCAUUUUCUGUGGGGAUUGUUCUGUCCUGGACAUGUCCUGUAAAGCGUCACACAAGGAGAGCCUGUUGUGUCUGGCUUCCCCCAGCAUCGUGUUUCCGAGGCUGCUUCAUGUUGUGGCAGGUGUCAGUACUCCAUGCCCCAUGUCCACAUAAAAUUGUAUCA